AAUUCUCAACCCUCCUUACUUUUCUGUUAGGGAUGGGAUUGGAUGGUGGAGGCUUGCCGGAUGUCAACGUUCGGCUCCUCUGAAAUGCAUUAGCAGUAUACAACCAUUUACUUGGGCUACGCUAAGCUGUGAUAAUAUCUAAGCUGGCUGGUUCAGAGUGUUUGGCAGAGCUCGGGUUUUUUGAAGGGUUUUGCUUCGCGGCUCCCUUUGUUUUCUCUUUCGUAGAGAUACCUAUGCGACUCUGUGAACGGUUUUUGUUACCGCUUCUAAUCGUCUUCUUAACUGAGACAACCUUUAACUGACU
rnacentral:misc_RNA from 1 species